CUUGAUAUACAUGUGUUUUGAUGGAGACUGUUAAGUUGAACAUCCACCUAGAACCUAGACUACACUUAAUGUCACACCCGAAUUUAAGGGACAAAGCCGGGUGCGUCUCAUAUAUGCGCCAGAGAAGACAACACAUAUAAUAACAGAGUGUAUAGAGAUAAAUGUCACAAUAUCAUCAGAGUACUUAUUACAUAGCGGAAGUCUUACAAAAUAAAUGAUAAAAUAAAGCGAACUAAAUAUUAUUCCCUGGCGCUACAAAGCUGACUAGGAGACGCCACCUAGAUCAAGUCGAAAGCCUCAGUGUUAGGCGACUCCUCUUCGACCACCUGUUCUUCUCCUGUGGGGGGUGUGAGACAGCAAGGGUGAGCUCACACAUGUUUAUCGCUCAACAAGUUGUGGGGAAUAAUGUGCAUGAACUCACCAAAGGUGGGAGUUCAUGUGAAGUGUAAGACAAAUCAAUAUAAUAAAGGCUGAAGCUGAGCAUUGCUUUUAUAAGUUGGUCAAAAUUUUAUUAGCAGUUACUAAGUGUAAGUGAAUACCAAACCAUAGUAAUAAUAAGUAAAAGUAACAAUAAAAUAAUCCCAAUGCAUGCGAAUGACAACUUGAAUUUAAUUCCAUAAAUUAAGCAUGUGUGUCCGAGCUGCUCAUGACCGCGAGCAUGGCUAGUAUACCAGUUUUACAAUCUGCAGAGGUUGCGCAUCUUUACCCACAAGUCAUGUUACCCAUCUGCCAAGAGACGACCAAUCCCAUACACCUCUACCGAGGAGGCGAGGCAGGGUAACACUACGAGGCCUUUACAAAGUUCCACUAGCUUCAGAAAACCCGCUACAGUUUCUAGGAAGCUCCAAUGCAGGGAUCCCUCACCUGACCGCCAUCGCAGCAAAAUCAACCUAAGGACCUUCCUACACUGACCACUCCCUUACUGCCCUUGCCCCUUUCGGGUAAGGUAGUCCUCCACUAGCUUUCCUAAUUAGUCAGCCAAGGGCGUCCCAUACCACGCUUGUGGUAGCACUGUUUUCCCGGGUGGUUCUCCAUGUUCCAAUUAACAUAAUGAUCUUAUCAUGAACCAUAAAUAACAAAUGAUAAUAAAAGUAUAAUCAUGAAUAGUGUGUAUCUCUAUACCCAAAACCACAUAAAACAAUAGCAGGUACUACCCAAAAAUUCAGUGGUAAACAAGGUAUAAAGAUAGUCAAACUAGGGUAACCAAUUUGGUCCCAUCAAAAUUAACCUAUGCACAUCAUUAUGAUUAAACAGAACAUGACUGGGGUAAAAAGAAAGUGAUCAAGGGCACAACUUGCCUUCAACGAGCUCCUGCUCAGCAGUCUCUACCAGCUGAAGCCCUGGAUCCUCUAUGGCUUGCUCGUCUACUCACAUCAAUACAAACAUACAUAGUAUAUAGCGGAAAUUAACAUCACACCAAACAUUUAAACAAAAUACAUAAUAAUAAUCUACACAUUAAAAUAAGAUUUUAGGAACAAGAAUCAUUAAUUUUGGAGUUCCAGAUUUUAAGUUAUGAAUUUCCAAAGGUUUUAUGUAUUUGACAUAAGAUUAACUAAGAAAUAAAUCUUAUUACUGUUUUCAUGUCAGAACAGAGACACUAGGUGAUAAACAAUAAUAUUACAAAAUUUUAGAAACUGAGAAUUAAUUUGUACUAAGCAUUAAUUUUCUACAAAUUAAACAAGUUCUAGCAUUUAUUUAUACAUUGAAAAUCCAUUUCUAUUAUUAAUUUCAUAUUUUCAAUACUCUCUGGAUUGGGCACCAAUUUCUAAAGAGUACAAGGGCUCUGGCGCAAAUGUUACUAAGACUCAGGCGACCCCUUUUACGGACGGUGAGUUGAUAACUGUAAAUUGUAAGGGUUCAUAUGAUAAUGCGCAAUCGCGAAGAGGUACGGUUGAACACGGGUCGUUGGAUCCAAUAUCUGCGCUCCAGAUUAGACUUCACGCUAGUUAUUCAUCUGCGCUCAGCCCUAGUCGUCAGAUCUGGAAUUCACGAUUCUGGUUUAAUGACUCGAAGGGGUACGCCAAGAUUCGAUCUAGGCCAUCCAUCUAAGAUCUACGGUUCGCACUCUCUCGACCAUUCAUCCAAUCGUGACCGUUAGACAUGAGAUGAACGGUCCACCGUUCUUCUUCAACCUCCGGUCAGCCCGCCAUGACAUCGUCCGCGCGCUGCGCGGCGAACGCACCCCACACCAAGCGCCACCCACCGCGCAACUCUGCCGGUGAGGCCUAGACCCUGCGCACGCAUCCCAUUCCGCCCCUACGAAUUGGCAAAGCACACGGAGAGGAAGCAUUGCUCACCGAGAUCUGGCGCGACAGGAGGAGCGGCCCGCCCCUGUUGACCAGCGACCCGGCCGAGGGUAUGGAC
rnacentral:lncRNA from 1 species